GGGACGUGGGGCGGGGAGGCCGGGGGAGCCGAGCCGAGCCGCCGAGCCGCCGAGCCGCGUCGACCGCGCACGCCUACGUGGCCGGGAUGCGGCCAGGGGCGUGUGACUUUGCUGAUUAGCUCCCCACGGUUGGUCAUGUCCCAGCACCCCUGAACGGAGGCUCACGAAUGCAGCUGCCUGCACUUUGGACAGACCAGGACCAUACCAUACCCACUGGGGACAGGAAGGACAAGGGGCCUCUCAGCUCUGGUGAUCCUUGAACUUCACAUGGCAAGGUCCUCUGAGGGAUACAGGCUCCGUGACAGUCAGCGAACGCUGGUUGUGUCUGGGGUAAGUGCGAUCCAAGGUGACGUAGCAUUUUCAAGCUGAUGACUGUAGGGCUCCUGCCUCCCACAGCCACUGCGGCCUGCAGGGGCCUGGGCACACAUACACUUCCUAGGCUCUGGUCUUCUCUUCAGGCCCUGCAUUCCUCACCCCUGCGCCUAGUUCCUUAGGCUGUGGGGGCCCAAGCAGGGCCUGGACCACGUCAGCACCAGAAGAUGGCCCAGGUGCCAGCAGCCAUGAACAAAGGGAAUGCGCUGGGGAAAGGCUAGGACUCUGUGCAACAGGCCUUCUCAGAGCCCUGAACGUGCUCACAGGUGGUGUCUAUCCCAGAGGAAAGAGGGCACUUGCGGCAUUUCCCACACCGGUCCACAGAACAUCCUCCUCUCUCUUCUCUCGACACGGCAUCACGGGAGGCUAGCGUUUUGUGAAGAGCACUUUUGGGAAUGAUGGAAGCGGAGGGGCCCCGAUCUCUGACCUGAGCUAGUGUUUUCAUUGGACACAUGCUGUGUGACCCCAAGCAAGUCCCUCACUUCUCUGAGCUGGCGUGCUCACAGGUACAAACAAGCCAAAGCCUUUUUGCGAGGCACUGGGUCCCAGGGAGCAGGUUCUGGCUGUCCCGUCUGCACCGGGCUAGCACACGACCGCUUGGGGAACCACACACUGCCGGGACUGGGAAGGGGAAGUUCCGAGCACCAGCAGCCAAGCCCGCAGCCUGGUCUGGGGAACUUGGGGCAGAAAGGGGAUGUGGCGAGAGAUGAGGCAAGGCCAGCUCAGGGACAGCAGGGCCUGUGUCACCUCCUUGUGACUGCUGCCCCAGGCACGCCUCUCCCUGCCCCCAACAAGGACAUCCUGGCCUUUCUGAGGUUCUGCCACUCACAGGGCUUCUGCCUGAAGCCUCGGGAGGCUUGACAUCCUCAAGGCCAUAGCCAUGCAUGGCCCGACCCUCCGGACACCCAGGAUUACAGGACAGCGACCUGAGACUAAGCCCGGGGGACUACGCCCAGGAAGAUGGGUAUGCAGGAGGAUGCAUUGUGCCGGGGC